UUUUACUCGGAUAACUGUGGUAAUUCUAGAGCUAAUACGUGCUAAAAAUCCCGACUUCGGAAGGGCUGUAUUUAUUAGAUUCAAAACCAAUGCCCUUCGGGGCUUCAUGGUGAUUCAUAAUAACUGCUCGAAUCGCAUGGCCUUGCGCCGGCGAUGGUUCAUUCAAAUUUCUUCCCUAUCAACUUUCGAUGCGAGGGUCUUGUCCUCGCAUGGUUACAACGGGUAACGGAGGGUUAGGGCUCGACCCCGGAGAAGGAGCCUGAGAAACGGCUACUACAUCCAAGGAAGGCAGCAGGCGCGCAAAUUACCCAAUCCCGACACGGGGAGGUAGUGACAAUAAAUACUGAUACAGGGCUCUUUUGGGUCUUGUAAUCGGAAUGAGUACUAUUUAAAUCCCAUAACGAGGAACAAUUGGAGGGCAAGUCUGGUGCCAGCAGCCGCGGUAAUUCCAGCUCCAAUAGCGUAUAUUAAAGUUGUUGUGGUUAAAAAGCUCGUAGUUGAACCUUGGGCCUGGCCUGUCAGUCCCCCUCACCGGGUGCACUGAUCUGGCCGGGUCUUUCCCUCCGCGGAACCCCAUGGCCUUCACUGGUCGUGGCGGGGAAACGGGACUUUUACUUUGAAAAAAUUAGAGUGCUCCAGGCAGGCCUAUGCUCGAAUACAUUAGCAUGGAAUAAUAAAAUAGGACGCGUGGUUCUAUUUUGUUGGUUUCUAGGACCGCCGUAAUGAUUAAUAGGGACAGUCGGGGGCAUCAGUAUUCAAUUGUCAGAGGUGAAAUUCUUGGAUCUAUUGAAGACUAACUACUGCGAAAGCAUUUGCCAAGGAUGUUUUCAUUGAUAAGGAACGAAAGUUAGGGGAUCGAAGACGAUCAGAUACCGUCGUAGUCUUAACUAUAAACUAUGCCGACUAGGGAUCGGACGAUGUUGCUUUUUGACUCGUUCGGCACCUUUCGAGAAAUCAAAGUGCU
rnacentral:rRNA from 1 species